rnacentral:pre_miRNA from 1 species
GAUUUCAACUGAAAAAGUCAUUAAUAACAAAGUUGUAUAACUCAUCAAGAUCUAUAACUUCUAUUUUGGUCAUUUCUUCAUCUAAGAAAGUGAUUUGUAAGAUUGUUCACAAAAUGUACAUCUCUUAUAUAGUUUAUUUUGUGAACAAUCUUACAAAUCACUUUGUCGGAUGAAGAAAUGAUUAAAAUAGAAGUUAUAGAUCCUGAUGAGUUAUACAACUUUGUUAUUGAUGACUUUUUCAGCUAAAAUC